UCCGCGAUAGUUUAGUGGCUAGAAUUCGAGCUUGUCGCGCUCGGGACCGGGGUUCAAUUCCCCGUCGCGGAG
rfam:Lachancea mirantina genome assembly, chromosome: B